rnacentral:lncRNA from 1 species
UUAUACCAAAAUCUACUUAAAUCUUAAACUAUACAAUACAAUGAUUCGAGAGUGUGUGUGUGUGUGUGUGUGAGAAUCCAACGAGCAUACCUCAGAGAAUGGAACUGGAGUUACCAAUGUUACAUCAAUUAUUUGACACUAUUUCAAUAAAUAUUCACAAAUGUUCAUUGUUUGAAGGUUCACAAUUGUUUGAUCACACAGCUCCACACUUCACUGUCAUCAGUGUCGUCCAUUGUCUCCGUCUCAAUGGGAUGAGUUGCCUUUUCCAUCAUCAAGACUUACAUUUUGUAUUGUUGUUCAUUCACCUUCAAAAGUAAACUCUUGACUUCUUCUGACUAACUUCCGUCUUCUCUACUGACCUCCAUCUGCUCUGUCUUAUUCGUUUAUAUUACCCCAAUGUUUUUGAUGUUUACUUCCAUUCUCACGGAUCAGCUCUCUCUUUGUUUAUCAUACAAUGAUGAUUCCUAGUUCAUUUUAUUUAUAUUUUAAAUAAAUAAUUUGAGCUGAAAAUCAUCGUCAUAUGAGAAUGAACUAAAUAUUGAAAACAUUGGAGUAAUAUAAACGAAUAAAACAGAGCAGAAAGAGGUCAGUAGAGAAGACGGAAGUUAGUCAGGAGAAGUCAAGAGUCUACUUUUGUAGGUGAACAAACAACAAUACAAAAUGUGAGUCUUAUUGAUGGGAAAAGCAACUCGUCCCGUCAGGACGGAGACAGAGACAAUGGACGACAAUGACAGCGAAGUGUGAAGCUGUGUGAUCGGACAAUUGUGAACCUUCGAACAAUGAACAUUUGUGAACAUUUAUUGGAAUAGUGUCAAAUAACUGAUGUAACAUCAAUAACUCCAGUUCCAUUCUCUCAG